rnacentral:rRNA from 1 species
UACGAAGGGGGCUAGCGUUGUUCGGAAUCACUGGGCGUAAAGGGCGCGUAGGCGGCUUUAUAAGUCGGGGGUGAAAGCCUGUGGCUCAACCACAGAAUUGCCUUCGAUACUGUAGAGCUUGAGACCGGAAGAGGUAAGUGGAACUGCGAGUGUAGAGGUGAAAUUCGUAGAUAUUCGCAAGAACACCAGUGGCGAAGGCGGCUUACUGGUCCAUUACUGACGCUGAGGUGCGAAAGCGUGGGGAGCAAACA